GACUCGUCACACUAUCAUUAACUGAAUCCAUAGGUUAAUGAGGCGAACCGGGGGAACUGAAACAUCUAAGUACCCCGAGGAAAAGAAAUCAACCGAGAUUCCCCCAGUAGCGGCGAGCGAACGGGGAGGAGCCCAGAGCCUGAAUCAGCAUGUGUGUUAGUGGAAGCGUCUGGAAAGGCGCGCGAUACAGGGUGACAGCCCCGUACACAAAAGCGCAUGUGCUGUGAGCUCGAUGAGUAGGGCGGGACACGUGGUAUCCUGUCUGAAUAUGGGGGGACCAUCCUCCAAGGCUAAAUACUCCUGACUGACCGAUAGUGAACCAGUACCGUGAGGGAAAGGCGAAAAGAACCCCGGCGAGGGGAGUGAAAAAGAACCUGAAACCGUGUACGUACAAGCAGUGGGAGCACCCUUUGGGGUGUGACUGCGUACCUUUUGUAUAAUGGGUCAGCGACUUAUAUUCUGUAGCAAGGUUAACCGAAUAGGGGAGCCGGAGGGAAACCGAGUCUUAAUUGGGCGUUAAGUUGCAGGGUAUAGACCCGAAACCCGGUGAUCUAGCCAUGGGCAGGUUGAAGGUUGGGUAACACUAACUGGAGGACCGAACCGACUAAUGUUGAAAAAUUAGCGGAUGACCUGUGGCUGGGGGUGAAAGGCCAAUCAAACCGGGAGAUAGCUGGUUCUCCCCGAAAGCUAUUUAGGUAGCGCCUCGUGAAUUCAUCUCCGGGGGUAGAGCACUGUUUCGGCUAGGGGGCCAUCCCGGCUUACCAACCCGAUGCAAACUGCGAAUACCGGAGAAUGUUAUCACGGGAGACACACGGCGGGUGCUAACGUCCGUCGUGAAGAGGGAAACAACCCAGACCGCCAGCUAAGGUCCCAAAGUCAUGGUUAAGUGGGAAACGAUGUGGGAAGGCCCAGACAGCCAGGAUGUUGGCUUAGAAGCAGCCAUCAUUUAAAGAAAGCGUAAUAGCUCACUGGUCGAGUCGGCCUGCGCGGAAGAUGUAACGGGGCUAAACCAUGCACCGAAGCUGCGGCAGCGACACUAUGUGUUGUUGGGUAGGGGAGCGUUCUGUAAGCCUGUGAAGGUGUGUCGUGAGGCAUGCUGGAGGUAUCAGAAGUGCGAAUGCUGACAUAAGUAACGAUAAAGCGGGUGAAAAGCCCGCUCGCCGGAAGACCAAGGGUUCCUGUCCAACGUUAAUCGGGGCAGGGUGAGUCGACCCCUAAGGCGAGGCCGAAAGGCGUAGUCGAUGGGAAACGGGUUAAUAUUCCCGUACUUGGUGUUACUGCGAAGGGGGGACGGAGAAGGCUAUGUUGGCCGGGCGACGGUUGUCCCGGUUUAAGCGUGUAGGUGUGUGUUCCAGGUAAAUCCGGUU
rnacentral:rRNA from 1 species